CCUACGGGUGGCUGCAGUGGGGAAUAUUGGACAAUGGGCGAAAGCCUGAUCCAGCCAUGCCGCGUGUGUGAAGAAGGCCUUCGGGUUGUAAAGCACUUUCAGUGGGGAAGAAAGCCUUGGGGCUAAUACCCUCGAGGAAGGACAUCACCCACAGAAGAAGCACCGGCUAACUCCGUGCCAGCAGCCGCGGUAAUACGGAGGGUGCGAGCGUUAAUCGGAAUUACUGGGCGUAAAGCGCGCGUAGGCGGUCUGAUAAGCCGGUUGUGAAAGCCCCGGGCUCAACCUGGGAACGGCAUCCGGAACUGUCAGGCUAGAGUGCAGGAGAGGAAGGUAGAAUUCCCGGUGUAGCGGUGAAAUGCGUAGAGAUCGGGAGGAAUACCAGUGGCGAAGGCGGCCUUCUGGACUGACACUGACGCUGAGGUGCGAAAGCGUGGGUAGCAAACAGGAUUAGAUACCCCCGGUAGUC
rnacentral:rRNA from 1 species